GAUGAACGCUGGCGGCGUGCCUAAUACAUGCAAGUCGAGCGAACGGACGAGAAGCUUGCUUCUCUGAUGUUAGCGGCGGACGGGUGAGUAACACGUGGAUAACCUACCUAUAAGACUGGGAUAACUUCGGGAAACCGGAGCUAAUACCGGAUAAUAUUUUGAACCGCAUGGUUCAAAAGUGAAAGACGGUCUUGCUGUCACUUAUAGAUGGAUCCGCGCUGCAUUAGCUAGUUGGUAAGGUAACGGCUUACCAAGGCAACGAUGCAUAGCCGACCUGAGAGGGUGAUCGGCCACACUGGAACUGAGACACGGUCCAGACUCCUACGGGAGGCAGCAGUAGGGAAUCUUCCGCAAUGGGCGAAAGCCUGACGGAGCAACGCCGCGUGAGUGAUGGAGGUCUUCGGAUCGUAAAACUCUGUUAUUAGGGAAGAACAUAUGUGUAAGUAACUGUGCACAUCUUGACGGUACCUAAUCAGAAAGCCACGGCUAACUACGUGCCAGCAGCCGCGGUAAUACGUAGGUGGCAAGCGUUAUCCGGAAUUAUUGGGCGUAAAGCGCGCGUAGGCGGUUUUUUAAGUCUGAUGUGAAAGCCCACGGCUCAACCGUGGAGGGUCAUUGGAAACUGGAAAACUUGAGUGCAGAAGAGGAAAGUGGAAUUCCAUGUGUAGCGGUGAAAUGCGCAGAGAUAUGGAGGAACACCAGUGGCGAAGGCGACUUUCUGGUCUGUAACUGACGCUGAUGCGCGAAAGCGUGGGGAUCAAACAGGAUUAGAUACCCUGGUAGUCCACGCCGUAAACGAUGAGUGCUAAGUGUUAGGGGGUUUCCGCCCCUUAGUGCUGCAGCUAACGCAUUAAGCACUCCGCCUGGGGAGUACGACCGCAAGGUUGAAACUCAAAGGAAUUGACGGGGACCCGCACAAGCGGUGGAGCAUGUGGUUUAAUUCGAAGCAACGCGAAGAACCUUACCAAAUCUUGACAUCCUUUGACAACUCUAGAGAUAGAGCUUUCCCCUUCGGGGGACAAAGUGACAGGUGGUGCAUGGUUGUCGUCAGCUCGUGUCGUGAGAUGUUGGGUUAAGUCCCGCAACGAGCGCAACCCUUAAGCUUAGUUGCCAUCAUUAAGUUGGGCACUCUAAGUUGACUGCCGGUGACAAACCGGAGGAAGGUGGGGAUGACGUCAAAUCAUCAUGCCCCUUAUGAUUUGGGCUACACACGUGCUACAAUGGACAAUACAAAGGGCAGCGAAACCGCGAGGUCAAGCAAAUCCCAUAAAGUUGUUCUCAGUUCGGAUUGUAGUCUGCAGCUCGACUACAUGAAGCUGGAAUCGCUAGUAAUCGUAGAUCAGCAUGCUACGGUGAAUACGUUCCCGGGUCU
rnacentral:rRNA from 1 species